UUCUAUGGUACAAUAAGAUGUACUGUAGAAAAUUUCAUUAAGAUCGGUUUUUGUUUUGCUUUCCGGUAUUUUAACUGCGCACGUGUUUGCGACGCAAAAUCCAAGAAUUUCUGUAUACAUGUACACACACAUUCAUGCGUGUCUGUUUCGACUUCGAUUGUAUUGUUUCCACUGCUCUUAUUUUAAUUAGUUCAUUUUUUAAGAAUAAUACUCUAUUAUAGAUGUGACUGUUGAGUAGAGACGGUGGCAUGUGGCGUGGCAUGUCGCUAGUUCGAGCCCUACCGAGAAAGUUUUUUUUUUUUUGGCUGGUGUGUCUGUUGAGUAGAGACGGCGGCAAUUAGUGCGGUUAGUUGCGAGUUCGAGCCCUGCCAAAGGAACUUUUUUAUUUUUGUUUAUGACUACAAGCGAGCGCGUAGCGCGUGCUGUAUUUAGUGUUGGAAUAAGAGGGUUCAAGGGAUGCCCUAUUCGGGAACUCCCGACUAGAAUCCCUUGUUUGAUCUUCUUUUAUUAGGGUCACCGGAUUGAGUAGCGCUACUUUUAACAUUGUAUUGCCCAUUUGUUUGAAAUAUCUAUUGAAACUUGUUCAAAGAUAUUUCCCCACGGUGCCAUUUUAGUAGGCUGAUUUGAUGCAGGUUGCAAGCCUUUGGAAGACCUUAAUUAAGUUCAAAAUUCCAUUAAUAUGUAUAACGCUAACUUCAUAUCUUGCAGUUAUUUUCUUUCCAUGUUGAAAGAAACAACAUUUUUUUUACUUGCAAGGUUACUACAUUAUAUACGUUGGGCUUUGUAGCUUUUUCUAUAGAUUGCAUAACCAAUUCUAUUUCUUUAUCUCCAGCGCAGGUUUUUUGUCUACUUUUUUAUCUGGUAGUGACUUUCAUUAUGUUUUUGAUACUCAACUGUGAAGUCGUAUUCUUCUAAUGCGUGCGGCAUGCGUGUUAAUUUUGAGCUAGGAUUGAUCAUUGAAAACAAAUAUGUUAAUGUUCUAUGGUUUGUUCGGACUGUAAAUUGUUUGCAAUAAAUGUAUGGUCGAAAAUGGGUAAUUGCCUAGUGUAUUGCUGUUAGUUCUGUUUCUGCUGUACAUUUAUUACUUUCACCCUUAUGGUUUUGAGUUUGUUUACUUGCAUCAGAUAUUAUGCCAAAUUCUUUGCUGAAAUCUGGGUAUUGUAACAAUAUUGGGCUCAUUAAAUUUUUUCUUAAACAAUGGAAAGCUUAUUUGUAUUUGUAUAAAUUUGUAUUGUACAAAAUUGUAUUGUUUUCUGUGCUGAGUGUAUAUGCUGCUAUUUUAAUUGGUUUUCUUUUGUAGUUGGUUUGGCUGUUGAGUAAAGACGGUGACAAGUAGCGUGGUCCGUUACUAGUUCGAAUCCUAUUCAGGAAACCAUUUCUUUACAUUUAUUUAUGUUACUGCUAAAGCAUGCGAGCGCCUAGCGCGAGCUUGAGUACCUGUCGGUGAAAAGAUUUCAGGAUAUACCCUAUUCUGAAACUCCCGACUAGAGCGUCUUUAUGUGUUGAAUGUUAAUAAGUUACAAAAGAGGUACUAAAAAGGGUAUGAAAAAAGUAAAGGAAUUUGAAACAGACUUGGGAAAUCUUCUCUCUUGGGAUAUUUGUAGCCUGUCCGGCAUGCUUAGUCCUUACUCAUAGAUGGAAACGGUUGGUGAGUUCCCGAAAUCAUUCUAAAAGCAAGGAUCUUAUUGGAGGUAGAGAGAGCUCUAGAGAGAAUAUGUGGUUCAAUACACGAAAUGAGAUGUGGAAUGUGUGCACGUAGAUCGACGUGAAAGGCUUCGUAACAGAAAAAGAGAAUUAAUGUCGACAAUAAUUACUACCUUAUGUAGAAAGGCAACUCCGAGGAUUGUGUGUGUUUUUAGCGCCCGAAAUACAGAAAUCACAAAAAACAUUAAAUCUUGUCAAAUUUGCAAGGGACAGACAGGCAGGCAACCAACAAACACACAAGCGCAUAAAUUGUAAUAUUCAUAUACAAAAUAUGGAAGUAUGCGUGAAUAGCGAGUCCAAAAUGUUUUAAAUCCAUACAUGGCAACGCUAAGGUACCCUUUCCAACGAUAACGAGCCAAAAUGGAAAAAUUUCCCAACGACGUGGCAAUCCCUUUUAUUAUUUUAUACUACUAGUCCCUUUAAUUUUAAUUUUAAACCGAGCUUAAAAUAAAAACUAACCCCUAGAUCGUUAACUAUAAGUACAUGUUGCAAAAGCCUUUUUUCGAUCGUAUAGCCAACACGAUAAGUCCUAGUAUGAUUAAUGGUCAUAAACAUACACUUUAAACAAUUCAGAUACAAUUGUUUGUUCCACCACCAGAGUUUCAAUGAGUUCAAGUCAUCCUGUAGAUGAGGGUGAUGUAUAGGGUUAGUAUACACAAGCAAAGUGUCACAUCUUCGUACAAAAGUACAUGAGUAUGUGAUAUAACAGAAGGGACAUCAUUUAUAAAAAGAUUAAAUAGUAAGCGUCCAGGAUGACUAUCUUAAUGUACACCCGAAGUAAUGUGAAACUGCUUCCCAUCUUUUAAAUAAGAAGAAAUCCAACCGAAUUUCCAAUAAACAUUUGUGCAGAUUUGUUAUAUUUCCAAAGAGAUGGAAAGACAAUAGAAGGAAUAUUGCCAGGCCCGGGUGAGUAAGAGGAAUAGAAAAUAAUAGGAGCGAUUUUAGAAAUAGACGAAAAAA